rnacentral:lncRNA from 1 species
UUUUAGCACUGAAACAAUUUUUCAUAGAAUAUACGAACCGAAACACUAUUCAAAUUUUUGACUAUCAAUAUUCACUUGAAUGUUGGUGUGUGGUGAUUUGCGUUGACGUUGAAGGUAUUCGUGUUAGGACAACUUGCCCAUUACUCGAUAAAAGGGACGACCAAGAUGCUUCUAACGUCGUCAUGGAUAAUGGAUAGUACAAUAUUAAUUACCUUGAUAAGUUUGUUAAUUUACAAGUAUCUCACAAGACAUUUUGAUUAUUGGGAAAAAA